rnacentral:tRNA from 1 species
GGUGGCUCAGUGGUAGAGUGCUUGCCUUGCAUGCACGAGGCCCCAGGUUCGAUUCCUCAGCACCA